rnacentral:lncRNA from 1 species
AAAAAAAAGUUGUUCAAAAUGAGUCCUAAAUAAAUGUCCACAAGCUAUCCAAAAUAACUAUCAACAUCCUAUCCAAAAGUUGUCCAAAAUACUAUCCAAGAAGAUAUCCAAACUCUUCCAAAAAGCUAUUCAAAAAGUUAUCCACAGUAUUGUUCAAGUUCAAAAGCAGAAUCUUAGCAAAAAAUAUUGUCCACAACAACUAUGUCCACAAAUGUACAUCAACAUAAAAUACAUGUCAACAAAUCAAAAAUAUAUAUUCAAUCCAUAGACUGUUGACUGUUGAGAUCAAAAGUAACAUUAGGUGAGACAUUCAUGUUGUGCUGACUACCACUUGUUCCACCUUGUCUUCCAUUUCCUAUGUUUGCCUACAUAAUAAAUAUAAUGACAAUGUUUUUAUUUUGCAAUAUAAAUAUUACAAGUAAAACUUACAUAAAAUAUAUUCAAAACUUACCUGAACAGGUCCACCUUGACAUGUUCUUUUGUUAUGACCUAGCUGGUUGCACCUUGCACAGACAACUAUGGCAUUUCUCCUUCGUUUAGGUGUUGGUCCU